CUUUAGGCUCUUGUCCACGGAUGCGGUGACGAUGAAAGUUUAUUCAAUCAUAAUAUUAUUAGAUUUUAUUUGAUGAAAGUUCCUUACUAGAUUGUUCCUCUUUCCUUCCCAUACCCAUUUUAUUGUGUCUAUCUGUGCCAAGUGCUUAAAUAACUCUAACAUGGUUUGGUAAAUUUUUUGCAGAGGAAUUGAAAAAAAUGUCGCCUCUUGAGGUUGCUGUGAAAUAUUAUACAGGAGAUGACUUGUAUUUAUUUGACUUCCAUAGUUGUAAAUUCUAAAAGACCUAAGAUAGGUAUGCUUUAUAUCUAACACUUUGGAAGCUGGUACAGUGGCCAGAGGCAGAGGCAAAGACGUCAACGUGGGGAUUCCAGACGGCGAAGUAGACGCAAUAGGCGUGCUCCUUGAAGGUGCGG
rnacentral:sRNA from 1 species